GCAGCCUGCCGGGUUGGGAGGGCAUUAGGCGUCCCUGUGCUCCAUAUAACUAAUGCGAUUACAGAAGUCAUCGCGUCGGGGGUGAGUCCUUGUUCGGAAGAGCUGCGAAAGAUCGUGGAUGAAAACUAUAACAAGUUACUCUUGGAUUCUGAAAAUAAUCGAUCGAGGAAACUGCGGGCUGAGGCCGAUGGAUCAAACGGGUCAGCAGGUGAGAUUGACUCUCCCUUGAGCAAAAUCAAUUCGUUGGACGAGACCGACUCUGACAAGACUGACGCGAAUAGAAACGAGAGUACGAAUAUCGAUGGAG
rnacentral:misc_RNA from 1 species